UUUGGUUCGUUGACAGAUCCUCUCUCCUUCAUUCCCGCCGAGGCCUGGUUUUACUACGAGUCUGGCACUGAAGUCUGAAGUAGCCACAAUUGGGCGGUUUUCUACUCAGAUGAGAGAAUUCAUCAAAUGAAUUGGCCCAGACUUCUGCAGUGUCAAGUAAAGGAAGCUCCUCCCAUAAGAUUUCAGACUGGGAGUCUGAUGACUGGGAGUCACUGAGUGUGAGUGAUGGAAGCCCUUCAAGAAAGGAGCAGAAUGCUGAAGAUAAAGCCAGAAUUAAGCCACGUUCUUGGCUUUUCCCAAGACCUUCAAGGACACGAUUGACCUCGGAAUCAGCUUUAAAGGAGGAUGAAACUGAUGUUUAUGAAUGGGACAGUGAUAUUGCAUCAAUUUGUCUCCUACUUCAUUUGAUUCCACCAUCACCACAAGGCUGCAAGGGACCUGGAAAAAUGUCCACCUAUCAAGCUGAAAAACAUCUUCAAAAAGCACUAACAAGAAGAACACCUUGAUUGCAUAGAAGAGACCACACAACCAUACCUGCUUGCUGAUGGGACAAAGAGGGACAUCAUUCAUGGAUGCUACACAACUGUCGACAAGUAUCUUGCUGCAAUCUUGUUCAAAUCUACCUGUCAUAUUUGUUAAUGUCUAGGUAAAUUCGAUGAUUUUAUGUGUUUUAUUAACUAUUUUAUGUUUCUGUGCAACACUUAAUGAAUGUGACUGACUAAUUAACCUCUACACAUCUGGUAUAUGCUUUAAA